UACGGGGGGGGCAAGCGUUGUUCGGAAUUACUGGGCGUAAAGGGUUCGUAGGUGGCCAACUAAGUCAGACGUGAAAUCCCUCAGCUUAACUGGGGAACUGCGUCUGAUACUGGUCGGCUUGAGUGCAGGAGAGGAACGCAGAAUUCCAGGUGUAGCGGUGAAAUGCGUAGAUAUCUGGAGGAACACCGGUGGCGAAGGCGGCGUUCUGGACUGCAACUGACACUGAGGAACGAAAGCCAGGGGAGCAAACGGG
rnacentral:rRNA from 1 species